UACGUAGGAUGCAAGCGUUGUCCGGAAUUAUUGGGCGUAAAGCGAACGUAGGCGGCUUCUUAAGUUUGGUCUUAAAGACCGGGGCUCAACCCCGGGAAUGGACUGAAUACUGGGAGGCUGGAGGAUGUCAGAGGAAAGUGGAAUUCCCAGUGUAGCGGUGAAAUGCGUAGAUAUUGGGAGGAACACCAGUGGCGAAAGCGACUUUCUGGGGCAUUCCUGACGCUGAGGUUCGGAAAGCUCGGGGAGCAAACAGG
rnacentral:rRNA from 1 species